rnacentral:rRNA from 1 species
CAUUAAUCAGUUAUCGUUUAUUUGAUAGUACCUUACUACAUGGAUAACCGUGGUAAUUCUAGAGCUAAUACAUGCUAAAAACCCCGACUUCGGAAGGGGUGUAUUUAUUAGAUAAAAAACCAGCGCCCUUCGGGGCUCCUUGGUGAUUCAUGAUAACUCAACGAAUCGCAUGGCCUUGCGCCGGCGAUGGUUCAUUCAAAUUUCUGCCCUAUCAACUUUCGAUGGUAGGAUAGUGGCCUACCAUGGUAUCAACGGGUAACGGGGAAUUAGGGUUCUAUUCCGGAGAGGGAGCCUGAGAAACGGCUACCACAUCCAAGGAAGGCAGCAGGCGCGCAAAUUACCCAAUCCCGACACGGGGAGGUAGUGACAAUAAAUACUGAUACAGGGCUCUUUUGGGUCUUGUAAUUGGAAUGAGUACAAUUUAAAUCCCUUAACGAGGAACAAUUGGAGGGCAAGUCUGGUGCCAGCAGCCGCGGUAAUUCCAGCUCCAAUAGCGUAUAUUAAAGUUGUUGCAGUUAAAAAGCUCGUAGUUGAACCUUGGGCCUGGCUGGCCGGUCCGCCUCACCGCGUGUACUGGUCCGGCCGGGCCUUUCCUUCUGGGGAGCCGCAUGCCCUUCACUGGGCGUGUCGGGGAACCAGGACUUUUACUUUGAAAAAAUUAGAGUGUUCAAAGCAGGCCUUUGCUCGAAUACAUUAGCAUGGAAUAAUAGAAUAGGACGUGUGGUUCUAUUUUGUUGGUUUCUAGGACCGCCGUAU